rnacentral:rRNA from 1 species
GACAGAGGGUGCAACCGUUGUUCGGAAUUACUGGGCGUAACGCGAGUGUAGGCGGUCUGCUAAGUCGGGUGUGAAAGCCCCGGGCUCAACCCGGGAAGUGCACUCGAAACUGGCAGGCUAGAGUACUGGAGAGGUUGGUGGAAUUCUCGGUGUAGAGGUGAAAUUCGUAGAUAUCGAGAGGAACACCGGUGGCGAAGGCGGCCAACUGGACAGAUACUGACGCUGAGACUCGAAAGCGUGGGGAGCAAACAGG